rnacentral:rRNA from 1 species
UAGUCAUAUGCUUGUCUCAAAGAUUAAGCCAUGCAUGUCUAAGUAUACGCAAAUUAUACUGUGAAACUGCGAAUGGCUCAUUAAAUCAGUUAUAGUUUAUUUGAUGUUUCUUGCUACAUGGAUAACUGUGGUAAUUCUAGAGCUAAUACAUGCGUAAAAAGCCCCGACUUCUGGAAGGGGUGUAUUUAUUAGAUAAAAACCAUCCUCCUCGGAGUUUGGUGAUUCAUAAUAACUUCUCGAAUCGCACGGCCUUGUGCUGGCGAUGCUUCAUUCAAAUAUCUGCCCUAUCAACUGUCGAUGGUAGGAUAGAGGCCUACCAUGGUUGCAACGGGUAACGGGGAAUAAGGGUUCGAUUCCGGAGAGGGAGCCUGAGAAACGGCUACCACAUCCAAGGAAGGCAGCUAGGCGCGCAAAUUACCCGAAUCCCGACACGGGGAGGUAGUGACGAAUAAAUAACGAUGCGGGGCCCUUUUGGGUCUUGUA